GGCCUUGUGGCUCAAUGGUAGAGUGCUUGACUACGAAUCAAGUGGUUGCAGGUUCGAGCCCUGCCAAGGUCA
rnacentral:tRNA from 1 species